rnacentral:rRNA from 1 species
AACGAACGUUGGCGGUCUGGAUUAGGCAUGCAAGUUGAGCGAACCCAGCAAUGGGGAGCAGCGUAAGGGGCAGUAAGGCAUAGGUACCUACCCCGGGGUCGGGCAUAGCCUGUAGAGAUACAGGGUAAUUCCCGAUGACCUCGUGAGAGCAAAGAUUCAUCGCCCUGGGAGGGGCCUAUGUGAUAUUAGCUAGUUGGUGGGGUAACGGCCCACCAAGGCGAAGAUGUCUAGCGGGUGUGAGAGCACGACCCGCGCCACUGGCACUGAGACACUGGCCAGACACCUACGGGUGGCUGCAGUCGAGGAUCUUCGGCAAUGGGCGAAAGCCUGACCGAGCGAGACCGCGUGUGCGAUGAAGGCCUUCGGGUUGUAAAGCACUGUCGAGGGGGAGAAAAGGCAACUUGAUCUAUCCCUGGAGGAAGCUCGGGCUAAGUUCGUGCCAGCAGCCGCGGUAAGACGAACCGAGCGAACGUUGUUCGGAAUCACUGGGCUUAAAGGGCGCGUAGGCGGGCUAUCAAGUCCGGGGUGAAAUCCUCCAGCUUAACUGGAGAACGGCCUCGGAUACUGAUGGUCUCGAGGAAGAUAGGGGCACGCGGAACUGUGGGUGGAGCGGUGAAAUGCGUUGAUAUCCAUAGGAACUCCGGUGGCGAAGGCGGCGUGCUGGAUCUUUUCUGACGCUGAGGCGCGAAAGCCAGGGGAGCAAACGGGAUUAGAUACCCCGGUAGUCCUGGCCCUAAACGUUGGGUACUAGGUAGUAGACUAGACAUGGGUUUACUUCCGAAGCAAAAGUGCUAAGUACCCCGCCUGGGGAGUAUGGUCGCAAGGCUGAAACUCAAAGGAAUUGACGGGGGCUCACACAAGCGGUGGAGCAUGUGGCUUAAUUCGAGGCUACGCGAAGAACCUUACCUGGGUUUGACAUUCUCGAAAGAGGCAGCAGGUAGAACCCGGAAACGGGAACGAACGGUAUCCAAUCCGGAAGCUGCCACAGGUGCUGCAUGGCUGUCGUCAGCUCGUGUCGUGAGAUGUCGGGUUAAGUCCCAUAACGAGCGAAACCCUUACCCUCAGUUGCUAAUUAUAGGACUCUGGGGGGACUGCCGGUGUUAAACCGGAGGAAGGUGGGGAUGACGUCAAGUCCUCAUGGCCUUUAUGCCCAGGGCUGCACACGUGCUACAAUGGUGUGAACAAAGGGAUGCCAACGCGCGAGCGGGAGCGAACCCCAAAAAACACACCCCAGUUCAGAUCGGAGGCUGCAACCCGCCUCCGUGAAGCCGGAAUCGCUAGUAAUCGCGGGUCAGCAACACCGCGGUGAAUGUGUUCCUGAGCCU